rnacentral:misc_RNA from 1 species
ACGAGUUAGGGCCUCUGGCCCGAACCUCCAACCCUUUGUAUCAAAACCUCGUUGCCUCGGGGAGGGCCCUGCCUCACGGCUGGCCCCCCGAUGGACCACUAAACUCUGCACUCUGUAUGACGUCUGAGUAAAGAUUUUAAAUUAAAUCA